UACGGGGGGGGUAAGCGUUGUUCGGAAUUACUGGGCGUAAAGGGCUCGUAGGCGGCCAACUAAGUCAUACGUGAAAUCCCUCAGCUUAACUGGGGAACUGCGUCUGAGACUGGAUGGCUCGAGUGCAGGAGAGGAAUGCGGAAUUCCAGGUGUAGCGGUGAAAUGCGUAGAUAUCUGGAGGAACACCGGUGGCGAAGGCGGCAUUCUGGACUGCAACUGACACUGAGAGACGAAAGCCAGGGGAGCAAACGGG
rnacentral:rRNA from 1 species